rnacentral:tRNA from 1 species
GCGGACGUGGUGGAAUUGGCAGACACGCCAGAUUUAGGAUCUGGUGGGGUAAAACCCGUGGGGGUUCGAGUCCCCCCGUCCGCA